AGUGAACGCUGGCGGUAGGCCUAACACAUGCAAGUCGAACGGCAGCACAGUAAGAGCUUGCUCUUACGGGUGGCGAGUGGCGGACGGGUGAGGAAUACAUCGGAAUCUACUUUUUCGUGGGGGAUAACGUAGGGAAACUUACGCUAAUACCGCAUACGACCUACGGGUGAAAGCAGGGGAUCUUCGGACCUUGCGCGAUUGAAUGAGCCGAUGUCGGAUUAGCUAGUUGGCGGGGUAAAGGCCCACCAAGGCGACGAUCCGUAGCUGGUCUGAGAGGAUGAUCAGCCACACUGGAACUGAGACACGGUCCAGACUCCUACGGGAGGCAGCAGUGGGGAAUAGUGGACAAUGGGCGCAAGCCUGAUCCAGCCAUACCGCGUGGGUGAAGAAGGCCUUCGGGUUGUAGCCCUUUUGUUGGGAAAGAAAAGCAGCAGGUUAAUACCCCGCUGUUCUGACGGUACCCAAAGAAUAAGCACCGGCUAACUUCGUG
rnacentral:rRNA from 1 species